rnacentral:rRNA from 1 species
GUACCGAAUACCGACACUGGUUGAUGAGGAGUGAAUCCUAAGGUGAGCGAGAGAUCUCUCGUUAAGGAACUCGGCAAAAUGACCCCGUAACUUCGGGUGAAGGGGUGCUCUAUUUGGGUGCAAGCCCGAGAGAGCCGCAGUGAAUAGGCCCUGGCGACUGUUUAGCAAAAACACAGGUCUCUGCUAUACCGUAAGGUGACGUAUAGGGGCUGACGCCUGCCCGGUGCUGGAAGGUUAAGAGGAGUGCUUAGCUUCGGCG